rnacentral:rRNA from 1 species
GGCAGUCGUAACACGGUAAGUGUACCGGAAGAUGCACUUGGAACAAACCCAGGGUAUGGCUGAGUUAGCUCAAGCAUCUCACUUACACCGUAGAAGACAUCCAUGCAAAUUGGAUUACCCUGAGCCAAACAGCUAGCUUACCAACCAACUUAACCAAACAAUAUAAAUAAAAUAAAAUAAGCCAAACACCAAAAACUAAACCAUUUUUUUACCUUAGUAUGGGAGACAGAAAAGGUUCAACCCAAAGCAAUAGAAACAGUACCGCAAGGGAAGGCUGAAAGAGAAAUGAAACAACCCAUAUAAGCACUAAAAAGCAAAGACUAAACCUUGUACCUUUUGCAUCAUGAUUUAGCCAGUAACCACAAGCAAAGAGACCUUUAGUUUGAAACCCCGAAACCAGGUGAGCUACCCCGAGACAGCCUAUUAAGGGCCAACCCGUCUCUGUGGCAAAAGAGUGGGAAGAACUCUGGGUAGAAGUGACAGACCUACCGAACCUGGUGAUAGCUGGUUGCCUAAGAAAUGAAUAGAAGUUCAGCCUCGUACACCUCAAACCAAAAACAUAAAACUAAGACAUGAGAAACACACGAGAGUUAGUUAAAGGGGGUACAGCCCCUUUAACAAAGGAUACAACCUUACCAAGGAGGAUAAGGAUCACAAUACAUAAAAUAUGCUGUUCUAGUGGGCCUAAAAGCAGCCACCUAAACAGAAAGCGUUAGG